CUCUCCGUAGUGACGUCACGCCACUUCCUGUCUCCACCCGUUCGCAGCCAUGAUGCAAGAAGGGCUGGACGACGGACCCGACUUCCUCUCCGAGGAGGACCGGGGACCGCGGGCGGUGAAUGUAGAUUUGCAGACGGACGCCACGCUGCAGGUGGACAUCUCUGACGCUCUGAGUGAGAGGGACAAGGUCAAGUUCACCGUCCACACCAAGGUGAGACUGUCCUCCUCCAUCCUAGUGAGGACAUUUAGGUCCUUUGUC